rnacentral:rRNA from 1 species
ACGCUCGACACCUACGGGAGGCAGCAGUGGGGGAUAUUGCACAAUGGAGGAAACUCUGAUGCAGCGACGCCGCGUGAGGGAAGACGGUUUUCGGAUUGUAAACCUCUGUCUUCAGGGACGAAAUGAAUGACGGUACCUGAGGAGGAAGCUCCGGCUAACUACGUGCCAACAGCCGCGGUAAUCUGAGCGGCUGGCAAGGC